rnacentral:rRNA from 1 species
ACAUGCAGUCGAGCGGAUGACGGGAGCUUGCUCUUGAUUCAGCGGCGGACGGUGAGUAAUGCCUAGGAACUGCCUGGUAGUGGGGGACAACGUUUCGAAAGGAACGCUAAUACCGCAUACGUCCUACGGGAGAAGCAGGGGACCUUCGGGCCUUGCGCUAUCAGAUGAGCCUAGGUCGGAUUAGCUUGUUGGUGAGGUAAUGGCUCACCAAGGCGACGAUCCGUAACUGGUCUGAGAGGUGAUCAGUCACACUGGACUGAGACACGUCAGACUCCUACGGAGGAGCAGUGGGAAAUUGACAUGGCGAAGCUGAUCAGCAUGCGCGUGUGUGAGAGUCUCGAUGUAAGACUUAGUGGAGAGGUGUAGAUAUACUCUGCAUUGACGUCGACAGAUAGCCCGCUACUCUGUNCACCAGCGCGUAUACAAAGGGGCAGCUUAUCGAUACUGGCGUAGCCCCGUAGUGUGUAGUGAUGUAACCGCCCACUGACUGCUCACUGAAGCUAAAAACGGAAGGGGGGAUCUGUUGGGGAAUGGAAUUGAGAACAUUGGAGCCCCCUGCCCUACUGACU